rnacentral:rRNA from 1 species
CGCCCAGACUCCUACGGGAGGCAGCAGUGGGGGAUAUUGCACAAUGGGGGAAACCCUGAUGCAGCGACGCCGCGUGAGUGAAGAAGUAUUUCGGUAUGUAAAGCUCUAUCAGCAGGGAAGAAAAAAGACGGUACCUGACUAAGAAGCCCCGGCUAACUACGUGCCAGCAGCCGCGGUAAUACGUAGGGGGCAAGCGUUAUCCGGAUUUACUGGGUGUAAAGGGAGCGUAGACGGUUAAGUAAGUCUGGAGUGAAAGGCCGGGGCCCAACCCCGGGACUGCUCUGGAAACUAUUGAACUUGAGUGCAGGAGAGGUAAGCGGAAUUCCUAGUGUAGCGGUGAAAUGCGUAGAUAUCAGGAGGAACACCGGCGGCGAAGGCGGCCUGCUGGACCGCGACUGACGUUGAGGCUCGAAAGCGUGGGGAGCGAACAGGAUUAGAUACCCUCGUA